AGAGUUUGAUCCUGGCUCAGGACGAACGCUGGCGGCGUGCCUAAUACAUGCAAGUCGAACGCUUCUUUUUCCACCGGAGCUUGCUCCACCGGAAAAAGAGGAGUGGCGAACGGGUGAGUAACACGUGGGUAACCUGCCCAUCAGAAGGGGAUAACACUUGGAAACAGGUGCUAAUACCGUAUAACAAUCGAAACCGCAUGGUUUUGAUUUGAAAGGCGCUUUCAGGUGUCGCUGAUGGAUGGACCCGCGGUGCAUUAGCUAGUUGGUGAGGUAACGGCUCACCAAGGCCACGAUGCAUAGCCGACCUGAGAGGGUGAUCGGCCACAUUGGGACUGAGACACGGCCCAAACUCCUACGGGAGGCAGCAGUAGGGAAUCUUCGGCAAUGGACGAAAGUCUGACCGAGCAACGCCGCGUGAGUGAAGAAGGUUUUCGGAUCGUAAAACUCUGUUGUUAGAGAAGAACAAGGAUGAGAGUAACUGUUCAUCCCUUGACGGUAUCUAACCAGAAAGCCACGGCUAACUACGUGCCAGCAGCCGCGGUAAUACGUAGGUGGCAAGCGUUGUCCGGAUUUAUUGGGCGUAAAGCGAGCGCAGGCGGUUUCUUAAGUCUGAUGUGAAAGCCCCCGGCUCAACCGGGGAGGGUCAUUGGAAACUGGGAGACUUGAGUGCAGAAGAGGAGAGUGGAAUUCCAUGUGUAGCGGUGAAAUGCGUAGAUAUAUGGAGGAACACCAGUGGCGAAGGCGGCUCUCUGGUCUGUAACUGACGCUGAGGCUCGAAAGCGUGGGGAGCAAACAGGAUUAGAUACCCUGGUAGUCCACGCCGUAAACGAUGAGUGCUAAGUGUUGGAGGGUUUCCGCCCUUCAGUGCUGCAGCUAACGCAUUAAGCACUCCGCCUGGGGAGUACGACCGCAAGGUUGAAACUCAAAGGAAUUGACGGGGGCCCGCACAAGCGGUGGAGCAUGUGGUUUAAUUCGAAGCAACGCGAAGAACCUUACCAGGUCUUGACAUCCUUUGACCACUCUAGAGAUAGAGCUUCCCCUUCGGGGGCAAAGUGACAGGUGGUGCAUGGUUGUCGUCAGCUCGUGUCGUGAGAUGUUGGGUUAAGUCCCGCAACGAGCGCAACCCUUAU
rnacentral:rRNA from 1 species